rnacentral:rRNA from 1 species
UACGGAGGGGGCUAGUGUUGUUCGGAAUUACUGGGCGUAAAGGGCGCGCAGGCGGCUUGGCAAGUCGAGUGUGAAAUCCCUUGGCUUAACUAAGGAAUGGCGCUCGAAACUACCUCGCUAGAGGACGGGAGAGGGAAGUGGAACUCUCGGUGUAGGGGUGAAAUCUGUAGAUAUCGAGAGGAACACCGGUGGCGAAGGCGGCUUCCUGGCCCGUAGCUGACGCUGAGGCGCGAAAGCUAGGGGAGCGAACGGG